GCUGGCAAUUUAACAAAUUAAAUUUGUAAAAUAUGUAAUUUGUGUCAAUUUUAAUUCCUUUUUAGGAUAAAACAGUGCCAAUGUUUUCAUGAAAGGGAGUAAGACUUGUGGUAUAAUAUACCUUAAAUACAAGUUAGCAUUACAGCUUGUACUUACAGAUUGAUGUUGGCUAUUAGGGUAUACUUUUAAAGAUAACAAUUACCGUGGCUGAAGGAUAUAAUUAUGUGAUUAAUUACUCCUUAAAGAUUAUGUGAAUGUUCUUAACAUGUUGACAGCUGAGCACUCUCUCUUCACAAGACAUCAGAUUUAAAAUCCCCAUUCUGACACUGGACAUGACUGCUGAUUUGUAUAUCCUGCACUACCAAACGGAGGCCUUACAUUUGCAAGAAUUUUACUGCCAGUCUGUAGAAGACCAAGA